rnacentral:rRNA from 1 species
UGCUUACCAUGCAAGUCGAACGGGAUCCAUCAGGCUUUGCUUGGUGGUGAGAGUGGCGAACGGGUGAGUAAUGCGUGACCGACCUGCCCCAUACACCGGAAUAGCUCCUGGAAACGGGUGGUAAUGCCGGAUGCUCCAGUUGAUCGCAUGGUCUUCUGGGAAAGCUUUCGCGGUAUGGGAUGGGGUCGCGUCCUAUCAGCUUGACGGCGGGGUAACGGCCCACCGUGGCUUCAACGGGUAGCCGGCCUGAAAGGGCGACCGGCCACAUUGGGACUGAAAUACGGCCCAAACUCCUACGGGAGGCAGCAGUGGGGAAUAUUGCACAAUGGGCGCAAGCCUGAUGCACCGACCCCGCGUGAGGGAUGGAGGCCUUCGGGUUGUAAACCUCUUUUAUCGGGGAGCAAGCGAGAGUGAGUUUACCCGUUGAAUAAGCACCGGCUAACUACGUGCCAC